rnacentral:rRNA from 1 species
UUAAAGAUUUUAUCGGGUGAUGGAUGGGGAUGCGUCUGAUUAGCUUGUUGGCGGGGUAACGGCCCACCAAGGCAACGAUCAGUAGGGGUUCUGAGAGGAAGGUCCUCCACAUUGGAACUGAGACACGGUCCAAACUCCUACGGGAGGCAGCAGUGAGGAAUAUUGGUCAAUGGGCGAGAGCCUGAACCAGCCAAGUAGCGUGCAGGAUGACGGCCCUAUGGGUUGUAAACUGCUUUUAUAAGGGAAUAAAGUGAGCUACGUGUAGCUUUUUGCAUGUACCUUAUGAAUAAGGACCGGCUAAUUCCGUG